GGUUCCAUGGUGUAGUGGUUAUCACUCAGGACUUUGACUCCUGCGACCCGAGUUCGAAUCUCGGUGGAACCU
rnacentral:tRNA from 1 species